GUCGACUUCGGCGGCCACCGCCAUGGCCUACUCUUCCCACGGCCAGAGGCCCUUCCUCCCCAGGAUGCUGAUGGUGGCGUCCAUUCUACUGCGGAGUUGAUUCGGAGGGUCACAUUGUAGUUUCCGACGAUGAUGAAAUUGUGCAGAACGCUUCUGGAAAAUCCUUUGCACCGUUCCCCAAAGGUUUCUUCUUCACGACUUUCUGGGACUGCAGAGCUACGAGCAUCCUCAUUUGGUGCCGAGGGUUGACGGCAAAGGGAAGGUAUGCGGCACAACUUCCCAGUCGAUACACAGGCCAAGAAAGAUACCACCAAUUCGUACCGUUUUGUUUAAAGUUUCCACUCCAACAAAAAAACUGCUUUUUCUUUGGAACAACAUACGGAAUUGUGGUCGCUCUGCCUUCUUGAUCAUUCUACCAUGAUUCAAAAAUAUCAUUUUUUAUACAACUUCUUAGAAAUUUAUAGGAUGAGACCAUCACAAAAAGUAGGACAAACGAUAUUUGUUAACGGGAUUAAACAAUCAAUGCUUAUAUCCUAGGGCAUGAUUGCACAUAGAGGUACUAAAUUGGCGGUAAAGCCCACUGAGGCCACUAGAUGCAUCUCGGGCAUCACGUGCUCAGACUAUGUCUUGGCCGUACCGAUUCCUAUUAGGAAUCGCCUACGGCCGAGCAAACCGAGCUAACCCAUCAACACAUUCGUUCACCGCCGUUCUUACGUCGCUAUAGUUCGCUCGCUCGAUCCUUUUUUUUCAUUUUCUUUGAUAAACCUCCGCGUUUUCAUUAAUUUUGUCAUUGGUUUUUCAAUUUUCCUUCAUUAUACUGUGA